rnacentral:rRNA from 1 species
UUGCAUAUCCCAAAAGCGGAGGAAAAGAAACCAACAGGGAUUGCCCUAGUAACGGCGAGUGAAGCGGCAACAGCUCAAAUUUGAAAGCUGGCUCCGGCCCGCAUUGUAAUUUGCAGAGGAUGCUUUUGGCGAGGUGCCUUCCGAGUUCCCUGGAACGGGACGCCAUAGAGGGUGAGAGCCCCGUAUGGAUGGACACCAAACCUGUGUAAAGCUCCUUCAACGAGUCGAGUAGUUUGGGAAUGCUGCUCUAAAUGGGAGGUAAAUCUCUUCUAAAGCUAAAUACCGGCCAGAGACCGAUAGCGCACAAGUAGAGUGAUCGAAAGAUGAAAAGCACCUUGAAAAGGGGGUUAAACAGUACGUGAAAUUGUUGAAAGGGAAGCAUUUAUGACCAGACUUGCGCCGGGCAGCUCAUCAGGGGUUCUCCCCUGUGCACUCUGCCCGGCUCAGGCCAGCAUCGGUUCUCGUGGGAGGAUAAGAACAGUGGGAACGUGGCCCCCUCUCGGGGGGGUGUUAUAGCCCAUUGUACGAUACUCUCGUGGGGACCGAGGUUCGCGCUCCGCAAGGAUGCUGGCGUAAUGGUCAUCAAUGACCCGUCUUGAACCCACCGGACCU